AGCAGUGGGAGACAGGUUCGACUUCCAGCAAGCGGAAGCGGGUGAGCAGAGGCAGGACGAGGGCCAGCACGCUCAGCCGGCGGCGGGGUGCCAAGCUGGCCCCCGCCCCCCAGCCGGAGGCCUCCACUCCCACCAAAGUGACCUGUGUUUAGUCCAGGAGCUCAGCUCCCUCUCCUUGCUAAAACGGAUUCCGCUCAGGGGCUUGGCGUUUGAGUGGGAAGGCCAUGGGUUCUAACGAAGAAGGUUCAAAAAUAAUUCAAUGAGUGUCAAAACUGCAACUGCACGGUGCAGCUUAAGACAUCUGGCGGGUAGGUGCACGGACCGAACCGUAAGCUCCGUUCCACGC
rnacentral:lncRNA from 1 species